ensembl:ncRNA T01B6.10 ncRNA
GGGUUCAAUGUAAUUGACCCAUAAACUGCGCUUUUUUCCCCUGGGCGCCCGAAACAAGUUGACGUCCAAUAACAGGGUUAAAAUGAAAUGACCUUGCGCUCCUCCCGACUCGGAAUACCGUUAUUAUUACUCGAUCUUUUCAAAACAUAGCUUCCAAUCUAAUUUCGAACGGUUUCCAUGGUGUGAUCUUUUUGAAAACGCUUUGAAGUGCUU